rnacentral:rRNA from 1 species
AUUGAACGCUGGCGGCAUGCCUAACACAUGCAAGUCGAACGAGUGGCGGACGGGUGAGUAAUGUCUGGGCAACUGCCUGAUGGAGGGGGAUAACUACUUGAAACGGUAGCUAAUACCGCAUACCCUCUGAUUUGCCCAGAUGGGAUUAGCUGUUGGGGGGGGUAUCGGCUCACCAAGGCGACGAUCCCUAGCUGGUCUGAGAGGCUGACAAGCCAAACUGGAACUGAGAAACGGUCCAGACUCCUACGGGAGGCAGCAGUGGGGAAUAUUGCACAAUGGGCGAAAGCCUGAUGCAGCCAUGCCGCGUGUAUGAAGAAGGCCUUCGGGUGGUAAAGUACUGUCAGCGGGGAGGCGUUACCCGCAGAAGAAGCACCGGCUAACUCCGUGCCAGCAGCCGCGGUAAUUC